CAAGGAAAAUGAUUUCUGAGAGAUGGAAACAAAAUGAAGUGGUCCAAUGAUGCCCUCCUUAGUUUAAUGCCUUGAGAGUUUCCAACCCAUGGACAAGGAAGAAUUGACAAGUUUCUUGAAAGACAUUAAUUAUAAAAGUUCACUCAAGAAAAAAACAGAUUUAAAGCUAUACGCCUACUCAAGAUGAAAAUGCCUGCUGUCUCUUGAGGGCCUU
rnacentral:lncRNA from 1 species